rnacentral:rRNA from 1 species
AUUGAACGCUGGCGGCGUGCCUAACACAUGCAAGUCGAGCGGUAACAGGUGUAGCAAUACAUGCUGACGAGCGGCGAACGGGUGAGUAAUGCUUUGGAAUCUUCCCAGUAGUGGGGAAUAACCAGUCGAAAGAUUGGCUAAUACCGCAUACGUCUGUAGAGAGAAAGCGGGGGCUCGUAAGACCUCGCGCUAUUGGAUGAGCCAAAGUCGGAUUAGCUAGUUGGUGGGGUAAUGGCCUACCAAGGCGACAAUCCGUAGCUGGUCUGAGAGGACGACCAGCCACACCGGAACUGAGACACGGUCCGGACUCCUACGGGAGGCAGCAGUGGGGAAUAUUGGACAAUGGGGGAAACCCUGAUCCAGCGACGCCGCGUGUGUGAAGAAGGCCUGCGGGUUGUAAAGCACUUUUAGUGGGGACAAAAAGCUACGGAUUAAUACUCUGUGGUCUUGAUUUAACCCAAAGAAAAAGCACCGGCUAACUCUGUGCCAGCAGCCGCGGUAAUACAGAGGGUGCGAGCGUUAAUCGGAAUUACUGGGCGUAAAGCGCGCGUAGACGGUUUUGUAAGUCAGAUGUGAAAUCCCUGGGCUCAACCUGGGAACUGCAUUUGAGACUGCAU